rnacentral:rRNA from 1 species
CGUCUAUAUACGUAUAGCAUAUCAAUAAGCGGAGGAAAAGAAACUAACUAGGAUUCCCUCAGUAACGGCGAGUGAAGCGGGAAGAGCUCAAAUUUGAAAUCUUCAAGGUUCUACCUUGACGAAUUGUAGUUUAAAGAAGUGUUUUCUGUUGGAGUUUCGGUAAAAGUUCUUUGGAAUAGGACAUCAUAGAGGGUGAGAAUCCCGUAUUUGACCAUUACUUUCCAGCUGUGUGAUACACUUUCAAAGAGUCGGAUUGUUUGGGAAUGCAGUCCAAAAUGGGUGGUAAAUUUCAUCUAAAGCUAAAUACUGGCGAGAGACCGAUAGCGAACAAGUACCGUGAGGGAAAGAUGAAAAGAACUUUGAAAAGAGAGUUAAACAGUACGUGAAAUUGUCAAAAGGGAAGCGUUUGACACCAGUGUUGUUUUCUCGAAAAUCAAUUAAAAAUGGCUGGAUUUUGUGUUGUAUUGACUUUAUCAGCUUUCUGCACUUUUUUCCUGUCUUUUUUAAUGCACUUUUCGUUUAACAAGUCAACAUCAAUUUCUUUUGUUGUAAAAGGGUCAUUGGAAGGUGGCUUUCUUUUCGGAGAAAGUGUUUAUAGCCUUUGACUUCUGCAAUCGGAGAGAUUGAGGUCUGCAGCGUAGAUCCUUCGGGGUUAGAUGCAUUUGUGCUAAGUUAUAGCCUUUCAUAGACAACUUGUUGACUAUAUUUAGUCUUGUAACUUACUCGCUUAUGUAAUUUUACCUACGCUUAGGAUGUUGACGAUCAGCUGAGCGCG